rnacentral:rRNA from 1 species
GACGAACGCUGGCGGCGUGCUUAAUACAUGCAAGUCUUGGGGCUUUUACCUUCGGGUAAAGUCACUGGCGCACGGGUGAGUAACACGUAAGUUAUCUGCCCUCGGGUCUGGCAUAACUCCGGGAAACCGGAGCUAAUUCCAGAUGAUAUCGUAAGAUCAAAGAUUUUUCGCCCGAGGAUGAGCUUGCGUCUGAUUAGCUAGUUGGCGGGGUAAUGGCCCACCAAGGCGACGAUCAGUAGCCGGUCUGAGAGGAUGAUCGGCCACAUUGGGACUGAGACACGGCCCAGACUCCUACGGGAGGCAGCAGUAAGGAAUAUUGCGCAAUGGACGAAAGUCUGACGCAGCAACGCCGC